rnacentral:rRNA from 1 species
UACAGAGGCUGCAAGCGUUAUUCGGAUUCACUGGGCGUAAAGGGUGCGCAGGCGGCCAAGUGUGUUGGGCGUGAAAGCCCGGGGCUUAACCCCGGAAUUGCACCUAAAACUACAUGGCUAGAGCAUUGGAGAGGGUAGCGGAAUUCACGGUGUAGCAGUGAAAUGCGUAGAUAUCGUGAGGAACACCAGAGGCGAAGGCGGCUACCUGGACAAUUGCUGACGCUCAGGCACGAAAGCGUGGGGAGCAAAAGGG